GAUGAAGAACGUAGCGAAAUGCGAUAAGUAGUGUGAAUUGCAGAAUUCAGUGAAUCAUCGAAUCUUUGAACGCACAUUGCGCCCCUUGGUAUUCCUUAGGGCAUGCCUGUUCGAGCGUCAUUUAAACCUUCAAGCUAAGCUUGGUGUUGGGUGACUGUCCGCUUCACUGCGGACUCGCCUCAAAAUUAUUGGCGGCCGGUACAUUGGCUUCGAGCGCAGCAGAAACGCGAACUCGGGCCCGUCGUAUUGGCUCCCAGAAGCUAUCUUCACAAUUUUGACCUCGGAUCAGGUAGGGAUACCCGCUGAACUUAAGCAUAUCAAUAAGCGGAGGA
rnacentral:misc_RNA from 1 species